CGGGACGGCCGCGCGCUCGCAGCGCAGGCCGCGUUCGCGAAUCGCGCCCUCCCAGUUCGCGCGGUGGAAACCAGCAUCUGAAAGGAGAGGGACGCGCGACUCCAGGCGACCGCUACGCCGGCAGCGUAGGCGUAGAACUGGUGGGGUGCGCGGAGGAAGCCGGGGGAGAUAAGAACAGCGGCGCAGGACGCCUAGCGGCCGGAGCGGAGACCGAGCGGUCCAGCCGCGCAAGUCUGCGGAUGGGGAAGCGGGGACUUGGCCAAGGUCACGCCGCGUCUCCGCGGCCGAGGAUGAACCAAGGUCACGCCACCCGCCCCUGGGCCCUGCCGGUCGGUCUCGAAGGGGUUGAGGGGGAAGGUUUGUUGGAAAAAGGAGGAUGUAGUUAAAGGCAACGGAAGCUGCAGCCUGAGACAUCUGGGAUUUGGAACUGCAAGGAAACGGCGCAUGGGAGGCGUGUGCACUUUGCGUUGAUAGCCUGAACCUCAGGAUGUCUUAGGGGCUGGUGCAUGUCGCCCAUUACAAAGAACAAAUAUUUAUUCUGCAAUCUUUUAUUGAUGCUAAAGGUAAUUGCUUCCUCUUAUGGUAAACAAGAGGGCCAGAAAGGAACACGCGCGCGUGCGUGCGUGUGUACACACAUAAUGUAAAUCAUAAAACAUCAUCGUUUCUGGCAAUAAAUGAGGAGUGUGUGUUGUGGAUGUCAAACAGAUUCUCCAGGAAAAGAUAUACAGACAGAAGCUCUCCAGAAAGGAAAACUGGUGUAUGACCUGUGAAUGUUCUCAGCAACCCAGAACAAACCAAGUACCAUGCAGAUGCCCUAAACGUACCAAAAAUCCUGUGCAGUAUCUGUCUGGAGCAUUAACCAAGGGAUUCUG
rnacentral:lncRNA from 1 species